UAGGGAAUCUUCGGCAAUGGACGAAAGUCUGACCGAGCAACGCCGCGUGAGUGAAGAAGGUUUACGGAUCGUAAAACUCUGUUGUUAGAGAAGAACAAGGACGUUAGUAACUGAACGUCCCCUGACGGUAUCUAACCAGAAAGCCACGGCUAACUACGUGCCAGCAGCCGCGGUAAUACGUAGGUGGCAAGCGUUGUCCGGAUUUAUUGGGCGUAAAGCGAGCGCAGGCGGUUUCUUAAGUCUGAUGUGAAAGCCCCCGGCUCAACCGGGGAGGGUCAUUGGAAACUGGGAGACUUGAGUGCAGAAGAGGAGAGUGGAAUUCCAUGUGUAGCGGUGAAAUGCGUAGAUAUAUGGAGGAACACCAGUGGCGAAGGCGGCUCUCUGGUCUGUAACUGACGCUGAGGCUCGAAAGCGUGGGGAGCAGACAGG
rnacentral:rRNA from 1 species